rnacentral:rRNA from 1 species
UGCAGUCGACGCACUCGACCUUCGGGUCACAUGAGUGAGUGGCGAACGGGUGAGUAACACGUGAGGAACCUGCCCCGAAGACUGGAAUAACCCGAGGAAACUCGGGCUAAUACCGGAUAUCCCCACCAGGUCGCAUGGCCAGGUGAGGAAAUGCUCCGGCGCUUCGGGAGGGUCUCGCGACCUAUCAGCUAGUUGGUGAGGUAACGGCUCACCAAGGCAUCGACGGGUAGCUGGUCUGAGAGGACGAUCAGCCACACUGGGACUGAGACACGGCCCAGACUCCUACGGGAGGCAGCAGUGGGGAAUCUUGCGCAAUGGGCGAAAGCCUGACGCAGCCACGCCGCGUGAGGGAUGAAGGCUUUCGGGUUGUAAACCUCUUUCAGCAGGGACGAAAAUGACGGUACCUGCAGAAGAAGCUCCGGCCAACUACGUGCCAGCAGCCGCGGUAACACGUAGGGAGCAAGCGUUGUCCGGAUUUAUUGGGCGUAAAGAGCUCGUAGGCGGUUCAGUCAGUCGGGUGUGAAAACUUGAGGCUCAACCUCAAGAGGCCACUCGAUACUGCUGUGACUAGAGUCCGGUAGAGGAGUGUGGAAUUCCUGGUGUAGCGGUGAAAUGCGCAGAUAUCAGGAGGAACACCGACAGCGAAGGCAGCACUCUGGGCCGGUACUGACGCUGAGGAGCGAAAGCAUGGGGAGCGAACAGGAUUAGAUACCCUGGUAGUCCAUGCCGUAAACGUUG